UACGUAGGGUGCGAGCGUUAAUCGGAAUUACUGGGCGUAAAGCGUGCGCAGGCGGUUUUGUAAGACAGAUGUGAAAUCCCCGGGCUCAACCUGGGAAUGGCGUUUGUGACUGCAAGGCUGGAGUGCGGCAGAGGGGGAUGGAAUUCCGCGUGUAGCAGUGAAAUGCGUAGAGAUGUGGAGGAACACCGAUGGCGAAGGCAGCCCCCUGGGCCAAUACUGACGCUCAUGCACGAAAGCGUGGGGAGCAAACAGG
rnacentral:rRNA from 1 species